GACGAACGCUGGCGGCGUGCUUAACACAUGCAAGUCGAACGGAAAGGCCCUGCUUGCAGGGUACUCGAGUGGCGAACGGGUGAGUAACACGUGGGUGAUCUGCCCUGCACUUCGGGAUAAGCCUGGGAAACUGGGUCUAAUACCGGAUAGGAGCCAUUUUUAGUGUGAUGGUUGGAAAGUUUUUCGGUGUAGGAUGAGCUCGCGGCCUAUCAGCUUGUUGGUGGGGUAAUGGCCUACCAAGGCGGCGACGGGUAGCCGGCCUGAGAGGGUGGACGGCCACAUUGGGACUGAGAUACGGCCCAGACUCCUACGGGAGGCAGCAGUGGGGAAUAUUGCACAAUGGGCGCAAGCCUGAUGCAGCGACGCCGCGUGGGGGAUGACGGCC
rnacentral:rRNA from 1 species